AAAAAACAGCAGGCCCAAUUUUCACAUUGAACAGCCCAAACCCAAUUACAAUGAUCCAAAUAAUAUAAAACCCUAAAGCCCACCUAGCCCAACAAACUAAACAUUUUCAGCAGCAAAAAAAACUCAGCCCCCAAGCCUCAGCCGCACAUCAGGCCAACCAUUUGCCCUAUACGCCUACCGGACGUCAGUAAGAACCUCUACCGGGGCAACACCUUUUUCUUUAGUUUAUGGAAUGGAAGCGGUUCUGCCUAUUGAGAUCGAGAUUCCCUCUCUACGCGUACUUUCAGAACUAAAAUUAGAUGAAGCAGAAUGGAUCCAGUCUCGAUACGACCAGUUGAACUUGGUUGAAGAAAAGAGGCUAAAGGCUAUCCGUCAUGGUCAAAUGUAUCAAAAGAGAAUGAUGCGGGCAUAUAAUAAGAAGGUUCGCCCUAGAGAAUUCCAUGAAGGAGACCUCGUAUUGAAAAAGAUCCUCUCCAUACAAAAGGACUUCAGAGGGAAAUGGAUGCCGAAUUGGGAAGGACCUUAUGUGGUAAAGAAGGCUUUCUUUGGAGGGGCUCUGAUUUUGACCAAGAUGGAUGGUAAGAGCCUGCCUAAUCCCGUUAAUUCGGAUUUGGUCAAGAGGUAUUUUACCUAAAAAAAAAAAGGAGAGGCCAAUGUGAAAACCCGUGAAAGGGCGCUUUGAGACCAAAGGGGUUUGAAUUGAAAGCCUAGGAAUGGACAAUUCAAAUCGAAGUGGGGUAUCUAGUAGUAUUGUCUUCUCUGAAUUAACAAGAAGGAAUGAUGCUACAUUUCGGGGCAUUAGCAAAGUACUCUUGGUCUUCCAAACACAUACUGAGUUCAAAAGGGUCCUCGAGAAGUUUGUGCAAUGAAGCUCAUACUGCGAUAUCUAGGGCACCUAUUCUUAUCUUAUUCAUUUUGUAUUUUUUUUUGAAUGUGCUACCUUGAUUAAUUCAUAAGUUCUCAUUUUGUAUCUUAGCAAAUGUGCCAUCUUGAUUGCCCUAUUCAUUUUGAGUUUCGCUCUCAAUAAAAUUUCAUCUUGCCUAUUGCGAUGAUCUUUUUCAAGCGUCUUUCAUUGAAAUGAUGAUUAAUGGACUAAUAAUAUUCAGAAAGAGUUCUGCAUAUUACUCUAAAAUACUUCUAAAUGAUACGAGGAUCCGAAACGGGGCUAAUUAGUUUGAAUCACCCUACGUUCAAAGGUUGGAAAUAUUGGGGGAAAGAAUGGCCUAAAUUGUGAUUAUUUUUUCGAAUUUUCUGCCGAAGAUAUCAGUUGAAGAAAAGAUAGAGUAGUACAUUUACGAUAAAACCUCGAUGAACAGUGAGUAAUAUCAAACUAAGCAUUAAAAAAAUGACAUUUUUGCAUUCAUACAAGCAUCAUUCAUACACAUUUAGUUAGGAGCACUUGAUUCAUUUUGAUCACAGCAUCCUAAUUAUUUGACAUAAGCAUAGAUACAUAAAACUGAUUCUACAGAUCAUGUUCGUGGAGGAUGGUGUAGCAACAUUGGUAAUUUUACAGAUCGUGUCUCCCUGAAGUUACAGUGGAACAGAUCGAAAACGGUAAAUUUUGUCUCUUUGAAGUUGCAAUGGAGCAGAUUUAAGCCACCAUCCUGUCCCUCUAAGUAGUAGGGUAAUAGGCUGAAUUUCCAGAUCUUAACCCCUUAAGCAGUAGGGAAACAGAUCGAAGACGAAGGUCUUAAACCCCUAAGCAGUAGGGAAACAGACCAAAUUGCAGAUCUUAUCUCCCUAAGCAGUAGUGGAGCAGAUCGAAGACAAAGAGCCUUAAACCCCUAAGCAGUAGGGUAACAGGCUGAAUUUCCAGAUCUUAACCCCUAAGCAGUAGGGAAACAGAUCGAAGACGAAGGGUCUUAAACCCCUACGAAGUAGGGUAACAGACCAAAUUGCAGAUUUUAUCUCCCUAAGCAGUAGGGUAACAGGCUGAAUUUCCAGAUCUUAACCCCUUAAGCAGUAGGGAAACAGAUCGAAUACAAAGGGUCUUAAACCCUUAAGCAGUAGGGAAACAGACCAAAUUGCAGAUCUUAUCUCCCUAAGCAGUAGUGGAGCAGAUGUAAUGGCCCAAAUUUGAGGUUAUCGGAACAGUGGUUUCGGAACCACAAAUCCGAUGAGAAAAAAUUUUAUUUUUCUUAUAUUUUUAUGGUCUACAAUUUCACAAAAUGAUUUUUUGAAAAUUUCGUUCGAAAAUUUCGACGUUUGGGCACUCAAUUUAGUCAAAAGGACUAAAUUGUAAAAAGUGCAAAAGUUGAGUUCUACAUGUUAGAGGUGUCCAAUUGUUAUGAAACUUUAAAUUGGAGGUCCUUAUAUGGUAAUUAUACCAUUGGUAACUUGGUAGACAAAAAUGGACAUGAGAUAAGUGAAAUAGAAAAUUUUUAAGUUAGGGGCAAUUUGGUAAUCUAGUAAUUAAAAUGAAUUAAAAGGGAAAAAGAUGGCAAAAAUCAUCAUCUUCUUCAUAUGAAUGAAAUCAGAAAGGGGGGAAGCCAUAGUUAGGGUUUUCAAGCUUCCAAGCUCCAUAGUAAGUGAUCCCAAGCCCCGUUUUUAAUGUUCUUUACGUUUUUGAGAUCCCGGUAACUUAAUUUAGCUUAUUCUAGCAAUAAUUUAACCUAGGGUUUAUAUUUGGAAAAAUACCCAUAGGUGAAAAGUGUUUAUUUUGAUGUUUUAUGAUAGAAUAUGAAGCUAGAAAUUAUGUUAAACAACUUUUGCUAAGCGAUUUUAAGUGAAAACGAGUAAAACGACAUAAUCGGUAAAAAUACCUAAUGUUCAUAAGUACAUGUUAGAGUGGGAAUUUGAUGUUGCCAUAGAAGGGAAAAAUGUUCAGAAUGUUAUAAAAAAAUAAGAAUAAGAGAUGAAGUUUAAUUUCCGAGCCUUGGGGCAAAAAUGUAAUUAUGUAAAAGUUUAGGGGCAAAAUUGUAAUUUUGAAAAAGUUAGAGUCGAGGGCUGUUUUGAUGAAUGUGAUUAUUAAAUAAGUUAAAUUUACUAUUUUAGAUCAAGAAGUACGAAACUCGAGGUUAGACAAAGGGAAGAAUAAAGUUGAAGACUAAGUUGGUGAAUUUGGCUAUAAUUGGUACCGAGGUAAGUUUACAGUAAAUAAAUGCAAUAUUUCAAUAUUUAUUAUUAAUGCUGUUAAUUUCUAGCAAUUAUGAAUUUAUUUUAUGAAUUUAUUUGAUGAUGAUCUAAGCAUGAAAUGAUAGAGAAUUAAAAUUAAAAAGUCCCGUUGAUACAUAAGGAUGGUACUGGAUACGAAUGUCAUGACAUUUGGGUAAAGAGGUCCCAUGUAAGACCAUGUCUGGGACAUGGCAUUGGCACCGAGAUGAGAGGAGGUCCCAUGUAAGACCAUGUCUGGGACAUGGCAUUGGCACCGAGAUGAGAGGUCCCAUGUAAGACCAUGUCUGGGACAUGGCGUUGGCACCGAGAUGAGAGGUCCCCUAUAAGACCAUGUCUGGGACAUGGCAUGGGCACCAACACGAGAACAUCCCAUGUAAGACCAUGUCUGGGACAUGGCUUUGGCAUGUUAUUAUCAGAAGAGACCCGAGUAUCCUUAUUAUUCCAAUGUAGCUCAACGGGCUUGUAAACGAAUCAUGUUCAUGAAAGUUCAGUUUAAAGCAUAAAUGGCAAGCUCAGGUAAGUUGUAAGACUUAAGAACUUAUUAUACUAUCAAUUGAUGUUCAACGAUGCAGCAAGGAUUGAGUAAGUUAUGCACACAAGUAUUCUAAGUAAACAAGUAAGAGAACUAGUAUGAGAUUAACUAAAAAGUAAACUAGAGAUAUAGACAUUGAGUUUAAUUAUUUAAGUUAAAUAUUGUUAUUUAUUUGCUAGUAAACUUACUAAGCUUUAUGCUUACUUCUUUUAUUUCUCUUUCUCUUAUAGUAUUGCAAAGCUACUUCAAGGAUCCUAAAGAAGUCGGAGAUCGUCCACACUAUCAACUACAACUGCUCGGUAUUUUAUAUCGAAACACGUUUGAGUUAUGGCAUGUAUAGGGAUUUAGUUAUUUUGUAUGUUUGUAAUGAUGAUUUUGCUAAUGAGUGAUGUGUAAGUAUUUGAUGAUGUAUGGUUAUUAAAAUGAUUAAGGAUGAAGGUGUUUGUUGUUAUGAAAGAUUAGGUGAUAAAUUAUGCAUGGAAAUCAUGAAAGGAUAAAAUUUUGCAAAGAAACAGAAUUCAGGCAGCACAGUGACGUGAAUUUGAAAAAUCACCCAAGAUAGUAUAAAAUGAAUUAGAGGGUGAAUGAUAUAUGGAAUUAAAGCUUGUUGAGUCUAUUUUCAUGGAAAAAUAACGGUGUAGAAAAAGAAAAUUUAUAUUUUAAGAUAUGUGAAUUUUAGUAAGAUAGGGUCAGAACUGUUUUUGGAGUCCCCUGUUCUGAGUUUAAAAAAUAAUUACAAAUUGUACAAAAAUGGUUAUGAGUUGAAAUUUACAUGCUUAGAUUUCUUAAUGAGUCUAUUUUCUGUAGAAACAAGUAAGAACUUCACAUGAAAAUCCUACAGUGAGAAAACUUAUUUUUAGUGAUUAGAGGUCAGGGCAGUCAGGUGGUGAAACAGGGGAGACUUUAACAAUAAACUGUACUAAUUUGCUGAACCAAAAAUUCUAAAAAUUUUAUGGUGAGUAUAUAUAUGAGUCUAGUUUCAGGGAAAAUUUACGGAAUUAAAUUUCGAGUUCUGUAGCUCAAGUUAUAAUUAAUUUAGUAACUGCUGCGCGAUUGGACAGAUUUGCUACGAAUAAUGAAAUAAAUUUUCAAACCUAGUUUUUAUGCUCCGAAUUGGUAAGAUAAGCUAAGUAAUGCCUCGUGCUCGACUCCGGAAACGGUCUCGGGUAAGGGGUGUUACAGCAGAUCGAAGACAAAAAGCCUUAAACCCCUAAGCAGUAGGGUAACAAGCUGAAUUUCCAGAUCUUAACCCCUAAGCAGUAGGGAAACAGAUCGAAGAUGAAAUGUCUUAAACCCCUAAGAAGUAGGGUAAUAGACCAAAUUGUAAACCCUAUCUCCCUAAGCAAUAGUGGAGUAGGCUGAAGAGUGUACAUCUUGUUUCCCUGAAGUUGCAGUGGAGCAGUUUGAAGUCACAAACCUCAUCUUCCUGAAGAUGCAGUGGAGCAGGUUAAAAUUACCAAAUUUUAUCCCUUUGAAGUACUAGCAGAGUAGAUUGAAGCUACAAAUCUCUUCUCUCUGAAAUUGCAUUUGAGCAAAUCGUAGCACUAGUUCCUAUAUCCCUGAGGAUACAAUGGGAUGAAAUGAGGCUACUCGAAGAAAAGAAGCUUCAAAGAAGUUAAGAUUCAGUAAGACUAGGCAAAAUUGGCUCUUCUAAGGUCUUUGCUCUAUUCUCGUUACACGACAAUAAGUAAAGAGGGGCAGCUGUUAUAGCCAAUUUUGGCUUGGCCAACAAGAAAUAAAAACCCAAAUUAAUUCCAUAAUAUAAAAGUCCCAAAACAAAGUCCAUUUUACAAAAAAAAAAGAAAAAAAAACAGCAGGCCCAAUUUCCACAUUGAACAGCCCAAACCCAAUUACAAUGACCCAAAUAAUACAAAACCCUAAAGCCCACCUAGACCAACAAACUAAACAUUUUCAGCAGCAAAAAAAACUCAGCCCCCAAGCCUCAGCCGCACACCAGGCCAACCAGUAGCCGCCUCGCACACCACCACGCAUGCCACCUCGGCCACCACGCCCCUGACCGUCGCCCCUUCCACGCGUCGCAUGGCACCUGCAACAAGAAUAAACACGACAUCAAAAGAAAGCAUGCGAAUGACAAGAAGAAAUAAAAAAAGGAACAAAAACAAAAAAAGAAACGAAUGUGUUGGGGAGAUCAGCUUUAAAAAGUAAAAAUCGAUCAUUUGUAAAAAGGGAAGAGGGCACGUACAUUUUGAAUAAAAAAAGAGAACAAAUAUCUAAGGUUGAUCUCGAUAUACUUUUUCGCGUUCUAUUCAUUACUUUGUUUUUACUGAUAUUUGAAUACAAACUCAUUUAAAAGAAAAGGAGGCAGACAUAAGAUCAAUUAAAAAGAAAAAGGAAGAAGGCCUCACCGGGAUUGUCUGAAGUUUCGUCACCGAGGUUCCUCUUCCGUUGUCGGGGUUGAACCGAAUGGGGGAAGACCGAGAAGGCGUAGCCUUCGGGGACGCCUUGAAAAGGGGCUAAAUGACCUCACCCAUUCGCGUCGUCGACCAUCGCUUGUGGUGUUGCCGUGGUAACAGCGGCGAUGAUGGGUUUCCUAACCUUAGCCAAAGGAGAAAAAAAGGAAAGGGAGAAGGAGAGGGGGCAAAGGCCCUCUGUUUUCCUCUUUUUUUAAAAAAAGAAUAUAAGCUGAAAAAAAAAAAGAAAAGGAAAAAAGAAUGGCUUAAAUGGCCAUAGAAACGGCAGCAUUAUUUUCUCAAGGCUAAAGUGGGUC
rnacentral:lncRNA from 1 species